AUGUCUUCUUGGGCUUAGAUAAGAGGUUUAGCCUGCCCGCUGAGAUAUGAAGGGCUGCAGUAUUUUAACUGUACAAAGGUAGCAUAAUCAUUAGUCUUUUAAUUAGAGACUGGUAUGAAAGGUUGAACAAAGCAAUGUUGUUUUAAGUGUGUUAAAUGAAUUUUUCAUUUGCGUUAAAAGACGUAAAUUAAUAUAAGGGACAAGAAGACCCUUUAAAUUUUAUAAAAGUAAUCGUUAGUGUGAAUUGUGAAUUUAUGAGGGUUAUGUAUAUUUUGCUGGGGCGGCGGGUAUAAUUUAUCUGUGUUGAUUAUAAAUAUUUUAAUAAAUAAUAUUUUUAGCUUGAAGGAGGAAACAAGAGAAGUUACUAAAGGGAUAACAGCGUAAUGUUUUCUGAGAGCUCUAAUUGACGAAAGUGUUUGCGA
rnacentral:rRNA from 1 species